rnacentral:rRNA from 1 species
AUGGAAAUACUGCGGGGCCUGCCUUUGGCCAUAGUCACCAUGGAUGGCCUUGUGGCUUGCAACCCAACAAAAAACAAUGGUCAUUGGAGUAAACUUUGCAAGUCAUUAUUUCCAGAGCAGGUGGCUCCCCUUACAUUGGAGGGGGUCACAAGGAUACUUGAUUAUUGCUAUAAUGAUUUGCCAGCAGAUCUCAAGACCUGCUCAUUGUACUUGAGCAUAUUCCCCAAGGGCUCGAAACUUAGUAAGAAGCGUCUGACCCGGCGGUGGAUAUCAGAAUGUUUUGUUGCUGAGAAGCAAGGGCUGAGUGCAGAGGAAGUGGCAGAAACAUACUUCAAUCAACUUGUAAGCAGGAAGAUAAUACGGCCCAUGGAUCACAGCAGCAAUGGGAAGGUAAAAUCCUUUAAAGUUCAUGACAUGAUCCUGGAAUAUAUCGUGUCCAAGUCAAGCGAAGAGAAUUUUAUUACUGUUGUUGGUGGACAUUGGCGGAUGCGAAAUCCUAGCAACAAAGUCCGUUGA